rnacentral:tRNA from 1 species
GGGAGUAGCUCAAUUGGUAGAGCAUCAGCCUUCCAAGCUGAGGGUCGCGAGUUCGAACCUCGUCUCC